rfam:Carnobacterium iners strain LMG26642 genome assembly, contig: Ga0073236_12
GGUACCUUUAAAAUCAGUCCAGAGAGGCUGACAAGGUUUGCACUGUCUAUUGAGGCAGUGUUGUACUGCUGUACGUAUACGCAGACUCCUUGUCGUUUUUUGACAAGGGGUCUUUUUGU